CCUACGGGUGGCUGCAGUGGGGAAUAUUGCGCAAUGGGCGCAAGCCUGACCCAGCAACGCCGCGUGAAGGAAGAAGGCUUUCGGGUUGUAAACUUCUUUUCUCAGGGACGAAGCAAGUGACGGUACCUGAGGAAUAAGCCACGGCUAACUACGUGCCAGCAGCCGCGGUAAUACGGAGGCGGCAAGCGUUAUCCGGCUUUACUGGGUGUAAAGGGCGUGUAGGCGGGACUGCAAGUCAGAUGUGAAAACCAUGGGCUCAACCUAUGGACUGCAUUUGAAACUGUAGUUCUUGAGUACUGGAGAGGCAGACGGAAGUCCUAGUGUAGCGGUGAAAUGCGUAGAGAUCAGGAGGAACACCAGUGGCGAAGGCGGUCUGCUGGACAGCAACUGACGCUGAGGCGCGAAAGCGUGGGGAGCAAACAGGAUUAGAUACCCGUGUAGUC
rnacentral:rRNA from 1 species